GUGGGGAAUAUUGGGCAAUGGGCGAAAGCCUGACCCAGCAACGCCGCGUGAAGGAAGAAGGUCUUCGGAUCGUAAACUUCUAUCCUUGGUGAAGAUAAUGACGGUAGCCAAGAAGGAAGCCCCGGCUAACUACGUGCCAGCAGCCGCGGUAAUACGUAGGGGGCAAGCGUUGUCCGGAAUGAUUGGGCGUAAAGGGCGCGUAGGCGGCCCGGUAAGUCUGAAGUGAAAAUCCUGAUUUUAAGGUGGGAAUUGCUUUGGAGACUGUCGGGCUUGAGUGCAGGAGAGGUAAGCGGAAUUCCCGGUGUAGCGGUGAAAUGCGUAGAGAUCGGGAGGAACACCAGUGGCGAAGGCGGCUUACUGGACUGUAACUGACGCUGAGGCGCGAAAGUGUGGGGAGCAAACAGGAUUAGAUACCCGGGUAGUCC
rnacentral:rRNA from 1 species